UAAAAUUCUUCUAUAAAAACUUAAUCUGGUCUAUGGGACUGAAAGCAACAUGUUUCAGCAUCACACAAAGAAGCAGGGCCAGGUCUAUCAACCAGGUAUCAUACAGGAAACAUUUUUCCUGACUGAUACUGAACACAAAUAUCAUUUCACCUUGUCAGGGCUGCUGUGCCCGGCCCCGUCCACAUCCGAUAUGAGGACGUCCUGCACUUCCUCCUUCACAUCUGCCACACUUAGCUGGGGAGGUUUCUGGUCCAUGCUGCAGCUGGGCACAGCCCUGCAGGGGGACGUCUGUGAGCAGAAAGGGAAUGAUGACCAUAUACUGAAGUUGUUCAUUUAGCAGAAUCAUAACACACACGAGGUAUCUGUCCUGCUGCAUCAGACUCUGAGCUCUCAGCUCUGCUCUAACUGGGUCAUCAGGAUGAAGAUCCGAAGUAUCUGGAAACUUGUCCUGCCUAAUGUGGC